rnacentral:rRNA from 1 species
AAUCAACGCUGGCGGCGUGCCUAACACAUGCAAGUCGAACGCGAAAGCCCCGCAAGGGGCAAGUAGAGUGGCAAACGGGUGAGUAACACGUGGGUGACCUGCCUCAGAGUGGGGGAUAACGACCCGAAAGGGUCGCUAAUACCGCAUAACAUCCUGCGUUUGGAUACGCGGUGAUCAAAGCUGGGGAUUCGCAAGAACCUGGCGCUUGGAGAGGGGCCCGCGGCCGAUUAGCAGUUGGUGAGGUAACGGCUCACCAAGGCUACGAUCGGUAUCCGGCCUGAGAGGGCGGACGGACACACUGGGACUGAGACACGGCCCAGACUCCUACGGGAGGCAGCAGUGGGGAAUUGUUCGCAAUGGGCGCAAGCCUGACGACGCAACGCCGCGUGGAGGACGAA